rnacentral:rRNA from 1 species
GACAGAGGUGCCGAGCGUUAGGCGGAAUCACUGGGCUUAAAGCGUGUGUAGGCGGGCCGUUAAGUAUCUUGUGAAAGCCCCGGGCUUAACCUGGGAAUGGCAUUGGAAACUGGCGGGCUUGAGUGUGGCAGAGGGGGGUGGAAUUCCGCGUGUAGCAGUGAAAUGCGUAGAGAUGCGGAGGAACACCGAUGGCGAAGGCAGCCCCCUGGGCUAACACUGACGCUCAGGCACGAAAGCGUGGGGAGCAAACAGG